UGCUCCCGAGGAUUAUUCUAUCCGCGUUUGGCGACGCCGAGAUGCGCAGAGUCAGAGAGAGCGAGAGAGAGAGGAGAGGGGUAACCGUGGAGUGGAUCUCGCAGGGGGGGCUCCGCCGACCGCCGGCCCCCGGCGGCCCCAGGGCCCAGGGUUCGUUCAUCCUGCCGGCCACCGGCGACCUGCUCGCCGGUGAGUAUGUACAGCGGCCUGAAGAGGCGCCUGCAGGGGAAGGCGUCGGAUCUUGCAGGGCAGAUGAGGUAUAAAUCCGUUCCUCUGUUCUCGAUCCGACUAAAUCAGUUUCUUCGACUAGGAAGCUGUUGAUCGUCCACCACAGAUUUGCUUCCGCUCUAUAUCCUUCAUCGUUUACUGUUUCUUCAACUAAAUCAUGCGUGCCUACUAUUUCUCUGCUGGCCAGCUCGUGUGUGCAUCUCAGCACUUUAACUGCGUUGGUUAACCCUGAUAGAAAUCUCUCCGCAACGAAUAUAUUAGAUCAAGAAUCAUGUCAUGGACACGAUAAGCUUUUGUUCUUCUCAUCAUUUGAUGCCUACCGGUUGGAUCAUGCUUCUGUUUACAAGCUCACUGAAGUAACCCUCUCCUAGCUCAAAUGGGCCAACUUAUCAUUUACAUGAUACACAAAUCCUUCGGCUAUCCAUCUCAAUAUCAGCUGGUCUCUCUUAAUUUUGUAAUCUUCUAAAAGAAUGAUUUACAUAUAAUAAAUGAUGUGAAGGUAGAUGAUAAAAACAACACAAUCUUUAGUCUUAAGCAAGUUGGGAUAGACUAGAGAUAAAGCACAAUAGGAGCCACACAUAACAGCAAUAUGAACUAUAGCAAAUAAAUAGUAAAAGAAGCUCUUGAUUCGUAGAUUAUGUCAAAGGGAUGAUCUAGAGUCAAGCUUCUUUUAAUACUAUUCUGAUCUACCUUGUCGUCUAUAGGAUUAGUUAUUAUAUCUAUCUAAGUAUAUUUGUAGAAGAUUAAGCAAGGUCACUUGAUAUGUAAAUGGGUAACCGAGUGCUUUAUUUCUCAUUGAAAACAAGAGAUUAGCCUAUUUGAGCUCAGUGAUAGAUUUACUCAAUGAGAUCAUAAAUAGAAGUAUGGUUCAACCAAUAGACAUCAAUGUUGAUGAAGGCAUGGAAACAUCUUAUCGUAUUCAUGGUAUGAUGAUUGAUCCCAUAUAUUUUUGCCAAGUGAAGAGAACCACUUGCAUGGCACUGAGUGAGAGUGGUUUAUACAAAGGCAAGACUUGAAGAUUAUUCAUCCAAAAGAGCAUGUCGGAUAUGACCACCAUCAGAAGCAGCAAUGCCACAAGUGAGGUAUCUUACAAUAAAUCUAUAUGUGCUAUUGCUGAUAGUGCUGCUUAUGUCGAGUACCUGUGUUGGAUUUAGAAUACUGUGUUGUAUGUUUCUUGUCAAUGGAGGCUCCUGAAACUUGGAGAACACUGCAUUUGUCUUGGUGUUUUGAUUUGUCUUUCUUCUGCAAGUACAUGAAGCUCUCCUUGUGAUUGCAUCCUCCUAUGCCUGAAUUCUCUUCUAUCGACUCAAGAACCGUCAAGUUUCAGCGCCGCCUCCUGUGUUUAGCUUCUUAUGAACUUAUUUUUCCAUUUCUUUGUGUUGUAAGGAAGUGUGUAAUUAUGAUGUACUGCUGGCUGGUUAAUUUGCCUUGGCGUUUUGAAUCUUCUUCGACAUGAAGCUCUCAUUGUGAUUGUUCCCACUUAUUCCUGAAUUCUAUUAUCACUUCUGCAGAUUGAAGGAACAUUCAGUUUCUGCUGUGCCUCUUGUAUUUUGCUUAUGAUGAACUUCCUUUUGCAUUUGUUUCUUUUGUAAGGCAGAAUAUGUCAACUUUUCCAUUUAUUCGUUUUGUAAGGCAGAGUAUGUAAUUUUGAUGCACUGUUGCCUGGUUUGAUGACUUUGAUUAUCCAUUGCGUCUCUUUCUCCUAGCAGUUUCCAGAAUCAUGGUAUGAAACUAUGGUUCUUCAGUUUGUACAAUCAUCUGAAAUUUCAUCUUUUAUCUGUAUGGGUUACUAUUUGUUUUAUUUGUGGCCUUGUAUUUGUCACGUUAAUUGAAACUUGAUUGAAUAAAUGGGGCAGUGCUAUUAGCCUGAACUGAUGCAACAAUUUCUGGAGGUAAAUGAUUUGGCUUAGCAAACAAUGCGGUGUGCAAACAAAAAGCUGUAUAAGUUCACACUAAUGUCUCUCUCACUCAACACUCUCUGUGACAAUACUCUGAUUUCUUUUACUCUCGUGAAAAUGUACUCAUUUGCAUGGCACAUGCUUUUAUGAUGACCAGGUACACAAUCAGCAAAUUAGUCAGCUAAUCGGUUAGUCGCAGCUGGUGCCCAUUGCUCUUUGCAGUUAGAACCAUUUUUUAAAUGCGUUUAAAUUUGUCAUUUUCCUUUUUUCCCUCUCCAUACGCAUGGCGGUGUGUGGUUGGUUCGCCGGUGGUGCCGACGUUGAUUGGUCCAGCCAACUAGCCGUGUUUGUCCUGGAGUCAAUGCAUUGAGUUGUUGCUUAAACAUGGCCACAUUGAGUUGUUGCUUAAACAAUGCAUACUGAGGAGGGCUAUCUCUAUUUUUUUUUUCUUUUGCACAAGACAAUGACGCACACACUAAUGGUCACUGUUGGUUUCUUCCUACUUUCCUAGCUAGCUUAUCUGCAAGGAAACCAAGAUUGCACACUGCCAACUCCCUUACACCCAAAAUACCACCACAACAGUGUGUAGAGAGGUCAAGCUACCUUAGCCAUGGAGAUCGCCAUGGUGGCCAUAAGGCCUCUCCUUACGAAGCUUGGCGGCCUGCUCGCUGGUGAGUUCACCCUGGAGAAGCGCGUGAGGAAAGGUAUGGAGUCUCUUGUCAUAGAGCUAACCUUGAUGCACGCUGCCCUCCGCAAGGUGGCAAAAGUCCCGCAAGAGCAGCUUGAUGAGGGGGUCAAGAUAUGGGCCGAAAAUGUCGAGUUGUCCUACCAAAUGGAGGACAUCGUUGACACCAUGAUGGUGCAUGUGGAAGAUGACGGUGAGCCUGUCAACCAGAAUAGAAUCAAGAAGUUGAUCAAGAAGAUCAUCAAAUUAUUCAAGAACGGAAGGGAUCUGCAUCGGAUAUCUGACUCUCUAGAAGUGGUGAUGGGUCAAGCUAAGCAGUUGGCUGAGCAGCGCAAAAGAUAUGAGCAAGAGAUGCGGGACACCAGUGCUGGUGCUGGCAUUGACCCUCGUGUGUUGGCUCUAUACACAGAUGUGACAGAGCUUGUUGGGAUCAAAUAAGCACAAGACAAGUUGAUUAACAUGUUGACUGGGGGUGAUGAUUGGUUGAAGAGUCCAAUAAAGACGGUAUCUGUUGUUGGAUUCUCUUGCGAAAGUGGUGUAUGAUAAGAUCAAAGUACAUUUUGAUUGUGGGGCCUUUGUUUCAGUUUCUCAGAAUCCCGACAUGAAGAAAGUCUUCAAGGAUAUUCUCUAUGAGUUAGACAAGAAGAAGUAUUCAUGCAUUCAUAGUGCAAUAAGGGAUGAAAAACAGCUUAUCGAUGAACUCAGUGAAUUUCUUAAGAGCAAGACCAAAUUUAUUAAGAGCAAUAAUGAAUUCCUUGCCAACAAGAGGUACAUCAUCGUAAUCGAUGACAUAUGGGAUGAAAAAGUGUGGCGUUUAAUCAAGUGUGCUUUCCCCAAGAAUAGUCUUGGAAGUCGAAUAAUCACGACUACUCGCAUUGUUAGUGUAUCUGAAGCAUGCUGCUCUUCUAGUGAUGAUAUUUUCAGAAUGGAAUUUCUUGCUGAUGACAUCUCUAGAAGGCUCUUCUAUAAGAUAGUAUUCUCUAAUGAGAGGGGGUGUCCUCAUGAACUGGUGCAAGUAUCCGAAGACAUCUUAAAGAAAUGUGGUGGUAUACCAUUAGCCAUUAUUACCAUAGCAAGUCUUCUAGCAAGUAAUCAUCAAACAAAAGCAAAAGAUCAGUGGUAUGAUUUGCUCAAUUCCAUCGGUCAUGGACUUACAGAAGAUCACAAUGUGGAGGAGAUGAAAAAGAUACUAUUGUUUAGCUAUUAUGAUCUGCCAUCUCAUCUGAAGCCUUGUUUAUUAUAUUUAAGCAUAUUUCCGGAAAAUUUCAAGGUCUUAAGAGUUGACUUGAUAUGGAGGUGGAUAGCCGAAGGCUUUGUUCAUAGUGAAAAACAAGAAACUAGCUUAUAUGAGCUCGGAAACAAUUAUUUCAAUGAGCUAAUAAAUAGAAGUAUGAUACAGCCCAUAGGCAUUGAUGAUGAAGAAAGGGUAGAAGCUUGCCGGGUACAUGACAUGGUACUUGAUCUCAUACGUACCUUGUCCACUGAAGAAAACUUUGUCACUAUUCUUGAUGGUACUAUGAGAAAAGUGUCUAACUUGCAAAGUAAGGUUCGCAGAUUAUCCAUCCAAAAUGGCAAGAUGGAUAUUUCUACCACCAGCAUGAAACAAGUGAGAUCUCUUACUUUUUUCACACAUGGUAUAAUUGACAAAGUACAGCUGAAUAUCUGCAGUUUUGAAGUUCUGCGUGUGUUGGAUUUAGAAGGUUGUACUAUUUCAGAUCCUGGGUAUAUGAAGAAUUUAUUACACUUGAAGUACCUACGGCUGAUACAUGCACAUGUUAAUGAGCUUCCAGUGGAAAUAGGGAAGUUGCAAUUUCUGCAGACACUGGACUUGAGACGAGCUCGUGGUAUAAAAGAACUACCGUUGAGUAUUGUUCGUCUACGACAUUUGAUUUGCUUGUACGUUCAUGAGGACAUGAAGAUGCCAUCCGGAAUGGGUAGCCUCAAGUCCCUAGAAGUGCUAGACGAACUGCUGGUAGGCCAGUUAUCUUCAGGCAAUUUUAAUCAAGACACUGCAAAAGAGUUGGGCCAACUGACCAAGUUGAGUGUGCUCCGGUUUAAAUGGAGAUGUAUCAAUGACAUCACUGAUAAAACUUUGGUUGAGUCCCUAAGUAACCUGCACUGAAUACAAAAUCUAGAUAUUUGUGCAGAUGGCGGUCGACAUGUCGAUCUCAUGCGUGAAGGCUGGGUUCCUCCCCCACAGCUCCAUAGAUUGUAGUUUCAGGGAACCACCUGCUCAUUCCAGACUCUGCCAACAUGGAUUAACCCUUCAACGCUUCCUUUACUUUCUUACCUGGAAAUAUGGGUGGAGGAAGUGCGACCGGACGACAUUCGGCUCCUCGGGUUGUUGCCCGCUCUGCGCUCUCUCUCCUUGGUGCGCAGUACUAUAUUCUCAGGGGGGCCUGCAGUGGAAAUGUCAGUCGUCACCGCUGAUGCAUUCCCAUGCGCGACGGAGUGCCGCUUCAUUGGUAUCGCCGCAGUGCCAUCUAUAUUUCCACAGGAAGCUAUGCCAAAGGUUAAACUCCUCUGCUUUGGCUUCCCGGCUGUGUGGAUCUCCCGUGGUGACUUUGAUUUCGGCAUGGGACACCUCCCUUCCCUGAAGUAUGUUCAGAUUGGGCUUCUGUGUGAAAAAGCAACUGACGUCGAGCUGGAGGAAGCAGAUGCUGCGGUGAGGGUCGCCACGGAGGACCAUCCCAACGGCGUGCAACUUAGUUUGUGCAGUUGGUAAUGUUGGCACACCGGGAAAGGGGGAGGAUGUUGCCAAGGCUGCAUGUGAUGAGGUCGAGGGAUCGAUUCAUCAAAUCAGUUAGUAGCACACUACCACCAAACUAUACGCUAUGUAACCAUUUUCCUUUAGCCUAUUUUCUGUAGCUAGCUAGUUCGAUCAGUCCAUUACUACUGUCUAAAAAUAAUAUUUUUUUGUUUUUGCCUGCCAAAAGAUUAAGCAUGACCUUUCCUAGAUUAGCAAAUACGGAGUAAUUCACUAGUUAUAUUCCCUUCUAGGUAGUUGGAUGAACUGAGUUCAUUUUUCCUUGUACUAUCUAUGCCCUUCUGUAUGCUUGGAUGAACUCUUUUUUUCUUUUUGCCCUACCUUCCUAUUUUAAGUACCAAGAAAUAUCAAGAAUUUCUCCUUGGUUCUGAACGUUUGAUUUCACAUAGCACUACGUGUUGUUACUAUCCAGCACAAUAUUAUGUGAUGAAUAUUAACAAUGAAAAUAAUAUGUAUGCCCUUUCUGUACUUGGAUGAACUCUGUUUUGUUGUACAACAUUUAACUGAACCACUUGUCUGAAUGUGCUUCCACAUUGCAUUGUAGGUAGCAGGAGCUAACAGAUUUGAUCGACAUGGAUUCAAUCGAUCAUGCGAAAGCUUCCAACAUCCCAUGGCUGGUACCAAUCCAACCAAGACGGUCAAUAGCACUGUAUUUCUGUUGCCGUUUGAUCAUCCUGUGCAGCGACAUCGAUCCUGUGAAGGCUACAGCUCAGUCUUCUGCUUCCAUUGCAACCAAGACGGUCAAGAAAACUCUAUUUCUCUGGUACCGUUUGAUUGUCUUACUCCUGCAGUGGCAUAAAGCUCUCAUCGUCCACUUAUGUCUGAAUUAUCUUCAUGCUUUCGGCAACUCAAGAACAAUGAAGUUUGUGGGGCGUUCGAUCCCCCCCCCUGCAUUUUGCCCAUGGAGAACCAUUAAUUAUGAUGCACCGCUGGCUACUUUGCCUCCUUUCAUUCUUCGUUAUACUGUGUUCUUUUUAACAGCAUUCUGACUCGUGUUUAUUCCAGUUCUAAAUUAAAAUGUCGUUUUCAGUUUGCACAAUUAUUUGAAGUUUUACCUUGUAUUUAUCAUGUUGGUUUGAUCAAAUAUACGGUGUCGCUUCGAUGUGAA